rnacentral:rRNA from 1 species
CGAAGACUACGACGUUGAUAGGCGGGAUGUAGAAGUGCAGUAAUGCAUGUAGCUAACCCGUACUAAUUGCCCGUGAGGCUUGAUCAUAUAACACCCAA